rfam:Sus scrofa chromosome 10.
CCAAUGGCUUUUUUGCUUUUAGGAUGAAAGCCACGUUUAUUUAAAAAGAAAUGUAAU